CCUACGGGGGGCUGCAGUGGGGAAUAUUGGACAAUGGGGGGAACCCUGAUCCAGCCAUGCCGCGUGUGUGAAGAAGGCCCUCGGGUUGUAAAGCAUUUUCAGUGAGGAAGAACGCCUGGUGGUUAAUACCCAUCAGGAAAGACAUCACUCACAGAAGAAGCACCGGCUAACUCCGUGCCAGCAGCCGCGGUAAUACGGAGGGUGCGAGCGGUAAUCGGAAUUACUGGGCGUAAAGCGCGCGUAGGUGGCUUGAUAAGCCGGUUGUGAAAGCCCCGGGCUCAACCUGGGAACGGCAUCCGGAACUGUCAAGCUAGAGUGCAGGAGAGGAAGGUAGAAUUCCCGGUGUAGCGGUGAAAUGCGUAGAGAUCGGGAGGAAUACCAGUGGCGAAGGCGGCCUUCUGGACUGACACUGACACUGAGGUGCGAAAGCGUGGGUAGCAAACAGGAUUAGAUACCCUUGUAGUC
rnacentral:rRNA from 1 species